GCAGUCGAGCGAGCCGAACUAAUUGAUUACCUUCGGGUAUGAAGUUAGGGAAGCGAGCGGCGGAUGGGUGAGUAACACGUGGGUAACCUACCCUAUAGUCUGGGAUACCACUUGGAAACAGGUGCUAAUACCGGAUAAAAGGAGAGAUCACAUGAUUUCUUUUUGAAAGGCGGCGUAAGCUGUCGCUAAAGGAUGGACCCGCGGUGCAUUAGCUAGUUGGUAAGGUAACGGCUUACCAAGGCAACGAUGCAUAGCCGAGUUGAGAGACUGAUCGGCCACAUUGGGACUGAGACACGGCCCAAACUCCUACGGGAGGCAGCAGUAGGGAAUCUUCCACAAUGGACGCAAGUCUGAUGGAGCAACGCCGCGUGAGUGAAGAAGGUUUUCGGAUCGUAAAGCUCUGUUGUUGGUGAAGAAAGAUAGUGAGAGUAACUGCUCAUUAUUUGCCGGUAAUCAACCAGAAAGUCACGGCUAACUACGUGCCAGCAGCCGCGGUAAUACGUAGGUGGCAAGCGUUGUCCGGAUUUAUUGGGCGUAAAGCGAGCGCAGGCGGAAAGAUAAGUCAGAUGUGAAAGCCCUCGGCUUAACCGAGGAAUAGCAUCGGAAACUGUCUUUCUUGAGUGCAGAAGAGGAGAGUGGAACUCCAUGUGUAGCGGUGGAAUGC
rnacentral:rRNA from 1 species